rnacentral:rRNA from 1 species
GAGUGGCGGACGGGUGAGUAACACGUGGGUAACCUGCCCGGAAGUGGGGAAUACCUCGGGGAAACUCGAGCUAAUACCGCAUAACAUCUUCGGGACGAAAGUCCUGACGAUCAAAGCGGGGUCGCAAGAUCUCGCGCUACCGGAUGGGCCCGCGCCCGAUUAGCUAGUUGGUGGGGUAACGGCUCACCAAGGCGACGAUCGGUAGCCGGCCUGAGAGGGUGAUCGGCCACACCGGAACUGAGACACGGUCCGGACUCCUACGGGAGGCAGCAGUGGGGAAUCUUGCGCAAUGGGCGAAAGCCUGACGCAGCAACGCCGCGUGGAGGAUGAAGGCCCUUGGGUUGUAAACUCCUGUCGGCUGGGAAGAAAUCGCGCGGUGCUCAUACCAUCGCGCGUUGACUGUACCAGCAAAGGAAGCCCCGGCUAACUCUGUGCCAGCAGCCGCGGUAAUACAGAGGGGGCCAGCGUUAUUCGGAAUUAUUGGGCGUAAAGGGCGCGUAGGCGGCCAUGCGUGUCUUUCGUGAAAUCCCUCGGCUUAACUGAGGACGUGCGGAAGAAACUGCGAGGCUCGAGUCCGGGAGAGGGGGGUGGAAUUCCCAGUGUAGCGGUGAAAUGCGUAGAUAUUGGGAGGAACACCGGUGGCGAAGGCGGCCCCCUGGACCGGUAC